rnacentral:rRNA from 1 species
UACGAAGGGGGCUAGCGUUGCUCGGAAUUACUGGGCGUAAAGGGCGCGUAGGCGGCACUGUUAGUCAGGCGUGAAAGUCCUGGGCUCAACCUGGGAACUGCGCUUGAUACGGCAGAGCUAGAGGAUGGAAGAGGCUCGCGGAAUUCCCAGUGUAGAGGUGAAAUUCGUAGAUAUUGAGAAGAACACCGGUGGCGAAGGCGGCGAGCUGGUCCAUUACUGACGCUGAGGCGCGACAGCGUGGGGAGCAAACAGG